rnacentral:rRNA from 1 species
ACUGCUCAGUAACACGUGGAUAACCUGCCCUUGGGUCCGGCAUAACUCCGGGAAACUGGAGAUAAUUCCGGAUAACGCACAUGCUGGAAUGCUUUAUGCGUAAAAUGGAUUCGUCUGCCCAAGGAUGGGUCUGCGGCGGAUUAGGUUGACGCCGGCGUAACGUACCGGCGUGCCUGUAAUCCGUACGGGUUGUGGGAGCAAGAGCCCGGAGAUGGAUUCUGAGACAUGAAUCCAGGCCCUACGGGGCGCAGCAGGCGCGAAAACUUUACAAUGCGGGAAACCGUGAUAAGGGGACACCGAGUGCCAGCAUCAUAUGCUGGCUGUCCAGGUGUGUAAAAUACACCUGUUAGCAAGGGCCGGGCAAGACCGGUGCCAGCCGCCGCGGUAACACCGGCGGCCCGAGUGGUGAUCGUGAUUAUUGGGUCUAAAGGGUCCGUAGCCGGUUUGGUCAGUCCUCCGGGAAAUCUGAUAGCUCAACUAUUAGGCUUUCGGAGGAUACUGCCAGACUUGGAACCGGGAGAGGUAAGAGGUACUACAGGGGUAGGAGUGAAAUCUUGUAAUCCCUGUGGGACCACCUGUGGCGAAGGCGUCUUACCAGAACGGGUUCGACGGUGAGGGACGAAAGCUGGGGGCACGAACCGGAUUAGAUACCCGGGUAGUCCCAGCCGUAAGCGAUGCUCGCUAGGUGUCAGGCAUGGCGCGACCGUGUCUGGUGCCGCAGGGAAGCCGUGAAGCGAGCCACCUGGGAAGUACGGCCGCAAGGCUGAAACUUAAAGGAAUUGGCGGGGGAGCAC